UGAGAGAACAAGACGACUGGCAGAGGCAGAGAUGCAUGUUCAUCACCUAGAAAGCCUUUUGGAGCAGAAGGAAAAAGAGAACAAUAUGUUGAGAGAGGAGAUGCAUCGAAGGUUUGAGAAUGCUCCUGAUUCUGCCAAAACAAAAGCUCUGCAAACUGUUAUUGAGAUGAAGGAUUCAAAAAUUUCCUCUAUGGAGCGUGGGCUCCGAGACCUGGAAGAGGAAAUUCAGAUGCUGAAAUCGAAUGGGGCUUUGAGUACUGAGGAAAGGGAAGAAGAAAUGAAGCAGAUGGAAGUGUAUCGGAGCCAUUCUAAAUUUAUGAAAAAUAAGGUAGAACAACUGAAGGAGGAACUAAGUUCGAAAGAGGCUCAAUGGGAGGAGCUGAAAAAGAGAGCGGCUGGUCUUCAGGCUGAGAUUGGCCAGGUGAAACAGGAGCUGUCCAGAAAGGACACAGAACUACUCGCCCUGCAGACAAAGCUAGAAACACUCACAAACCAGUUCUCAGAUAGUAAACAGCACAUUGAAGUGUUGAAGGAGUCCUUGACUGCUAAGGAGCAGAGGGCUGCCAUCCUGCAGACUGAGGUAGAAAGAAUUCUGGGAAUUGUGGGGAGUUGGUUUCUUGGCACCUUUUCAUAAGCGUUACCUGUGCUGUUUUUGUUAUGUUUAGAAUUGGGAAAUAUGAGUAAUGUUAUGAUUAAUUCUUUAGCAGCGUGAUCAGUUACUGUGCUAAAAUAUAACCAUCUUGUUUCA
rnacentral:sRNA from 1 species